CUCCCUGGUGGUCUAGUGGUUAGG
rnacentral:piRNA from 4 species